rnacentral:rRNA from 1 species
AAGGCUUGACAUAUACCGAAAAGCAGCAGAGAUGUUGUGUCCGCAAGGGCGGUAUACAGGUGGUGCAUGGUUGUCGUCAGCUCGUGUCGUGAGAUGUUGGGUUAAGUCCCGCAACGAGCGCAACCCUCGUUCUGUGUUGCCAGCAUUUAGUUGGGGACUCACAGGAGACUGCCGUGGUUAACACGGAGGAAGGUGGGGAUGACGUCAAAUCAUCAUGCCCCUUAUGUCUUGGGCUGCACGCAUGCUACAAUGGCAGGUACAAAGGGCUGCAAUACCGUAAGGUGGAGCGAAUCCCAAAAAGUCUGUCUCAGUUCGGAUUGAGGUCUGCAACUCGACCUCAUGAAGUCGGAGUUGCUAGUAAUCGUAGAUCAGCAACG